rnacentral:rRNA from 1 species
AUUGAACGCUGGCGGCAGGCCUAACACAUGCAAGUCGAACGGUAACAGGAAGAAGCUUGCUUCUUUGCUGACGAGUGGCGGACGGGUGAGUAAUGUCUGGGAAACUGCCUGAUGGAGGGGGAUAACUACUGGAAACGGUAGCUAAUACCGCAUAACGUCGCAAGACCAAAAAGGGGGACCUUCGGGCCUCUUGCCAUCGGAUGUGCCCAGAUGGGAUUAGCUAGUAGGUGGGGUAACGGCUCACCUAGGCGACGAUCCCUAGCUGGUCUGAGAGGAUGACCAGCCACACUGGAACUGAGACACGGUCCAGACUCCUACGGUAGGCAGCAGUGGGGAAUAUUGCACAAUGGGCGCAAGCCUGAUGCAGCCAUGCCGCGUGUAUGAAGAAGGCCUUCGGGUUGUAAAGUACUUUCAGCGGGGAGGAAGGGAGUAAAGUUAAUACCUUUGCUCAUUGACGUUACCCGCAGAAGAAGCACCGGCUAACUCCGUG